rnacentral:lncRNA from 1 species
GUGUCAUUAAAGGGAAGGCUAAUGGUAUGGCUGGAGGUCCUCCCAAUUUUGAACAACCUACUGUGGUUCAGAAGAAUAAGCUAAAGAAGAAUACUAAUUAUGACUUAAGUCUUCCUAUUAGAAUUCCUUCUCAUAUGACUGGUGUUUUGAUUAAUGAAAAUCAUGAUAGGGUGGUUAGGAAAGCUGGAACUGAUGUAUUGAAAUCUUACUAUAAUAUGUAUGAAUCAUAUAAUUAUCCACAACACUCUUCUUAUUAAUAAGUAUGAUCUAGUUGCUUGUAGAAAUACGAAUGUUCCACUCAGGUCCGGGCCUAUGAGAAAUCAUCAUUACAUUCUAAUGUCUUCUAGUGAAGAUUCCCAGGAAAUAAAUUUGAGUAGUUUAGAUGGUGAUAA